UUGAUUUUGACAUAAUAAAGCCCAUAACAAUUAUGUCAACUUCUAUCCGGUAAUGCCCUUUUUUUGUUCAAGUUGUCAGUAAUAGAGAGAGAAACUGAUGACAUCAACAAUUUGACACCUCACAAUUAAUUAUCACACGUAAUUCAAUCAACACCACACUUUUGUUUAACACAUAAAUAUACAUCUAAUUUUUCUAUACCAUAUUACUAAAAAUAAUAUGAUUCAAAAUCCACUCACACCUAGUAAAUACUAAACUUUAAUCCAAACCUCAACUCCAAAAUAAUAAACCCUAAACUUUAAACAUCACCCUUCCAUCUAAAUACUAAACCCUAAACCCUAAUUACUGAACCCUAAACCCAAAUAUAAACCUUAAACCCAAUUAUCAAAAUCUGAAAAUAGUAUAUAAUAUUAUGUAAUAUUAAACUAAAUCCAAACAAAACUCCUCAAUGCUAAACUCAGACCUAACUUUUGAAUACUAAACCCAAAAAUGCUAUCACUAAACCCAAAUCUAAACUCCCACCUUCCAAAUACUAAACCCUAAAUCCUAGUCACUAAACCCUAAACCCAAGUAUAGAGUAUAAACCCAAAUAGAAUGGAACAAAAUACAUAGUAUAGUAUAAAUUGGUAAGUAAAAAAAAACACUCUUUUUUAAUCGUCAAAUAGAACAUACAUAAUACGGUCACUAAACCCAAACAUCAACCCCCACCUUCCAAAUACUAAACCCUAAAUCUUAAUCAUUAAACCUAAACCCAAGUAUAAACUCUAAACCCAAAUAGUAUAGAACAAAAUAAAUAGUAUAGCACAUAUAGUUGUAAACAAGAAAUUGAUAAAUAAUGAAUUUAUCAAACAAUCGAUGGUACAAUAAUACAACAACCGUAGCAUACUAUUUAGUUUGGUACUUGCGAAUUGUACAAAAAUAUAAGAAUCGUACUAUACUAUAAUUUUCUUUCACUACAUAUAGUAUAGUCGACGAGUUCAUCUUCUUCACAUCUUCCUCUUUUUACAGACAUGGUGAUACACACAUUCACUAGUCCAGAGUAAUUAUUCUUCAUCAU
rnacentral:lncRNA from 1 species